GGCCGGUUAGCUCAGUUGGUCAGAGCAUGGUGCUAAUAAUGCCAAGGUCAUGGGUUCAAUCCCUAUACGGGCCA